rnacentral:lncRNA from 1 species
ACGGUUAAGCCGGGAAAACAACUGAUGGUUUUAGUAGGGAAGAAAACCCUUGGGGAAAACGCCCAGAGUCUGCGUAUAUUCCGGCUCGAGCAUCCUGGCGCCCGUUUUGGGGAGGGAGGGGCAACAGGGAGAGUUUGGAU